AUUGAACGCUGGCGGCAGGCCUAACACAUGCAAGUCGAGCGAGCGGCGGACGGGUGAGUAAUGUCUGGGAAACUGCCUGAUGGAGGGGGAUAACUACUGGAAACGGUAGAUAAUACCGCAUACCAUCAGAUGUGCCCAGAUGGGAUUAGCUAGUAGGUUGGGUAACGGCUCACCUAGGCGCCGAUCCCUAGCUGGGCUGAGCGGAUGACCAGCAGCACUGGAACUUAGAAACGGUCCAGACUCCUACGGGAGGCAGCAGGGGGGAAUAUGGCACAAUGGGCGCAAGCCUGAUGCAGCCAUGCCGCGUGUGGGAAGAAGGCCUUCGGGUUGUAAAGCACUUUCAGCGGGGAGGCGUUACCCGCAGAAGAAGCACCGGCUAACUCCGUGCCAGCAGCCGCGGUAAUUC
rnacentral:rRNA from 1 species